GCCUGGUGGCCAAAGAGGCUAAGGCUCUGGUCUUUGGUAUCACAGGCUUCAGGUUCGAAUCCUGGCAGCAGCA